rnacentral:tRNA from 1 species
GGGGCCGUAGCUCAGUUGGGAGAGCGCAGCAAUCGCACUGCUGAGGUCGAGGGUUCGACUCCCUUCGGCUCCACCA